UACGAAGGGGUGCAAGCGUUACUCGGAAUUACUGGGCGUAAAGCGUGCGCAGGCGGUUUUGUAAGUCUGACGUGAAAUCCCCCGGGCUCAACCUGGGGAAUUGCGUUGGAGACUGCAAGGCUAGAAUCUGGCAGAGGGGGGUAGAAUUCCACGUGUAGCAGUGAAAUGCGUAGAGAUGUGGAGGAACACCGAUGGGCGAAGGCAGCCCCCUGGGUCAAGAUU
rnacentral:rRNA from 1 species